CGCAUGUCUAGCAUGCGAGUCAUUGUAGCAUACAAGGCAUACGGCUCAGUAACGCGUAGUCAACCUAACCUAUGGACGGGAAUAACCUCGGGAAACUGAGAAUAAUGCCCGAUAGAACACUAUACCUGGAAUGGUUUGUGUUCCAAAUGAUUUAUCGCCAUAGGAUGGGACUGCGGCCUAUCAGUUUGUUGGUGAGGUAAUGGCCCACCAAGACUAUUACAGGUACGGGCUCUGAGAGGAGUAGCCCGGAGAUGGGUACUGAGACACGGACCCAGGCCCUAUGGGGCGCAGCGGGCGAGAAAACUUUGCAAUGUGCGAAAGCACGACAAGGUUAAUCCGAGUGAUUUGUGCUAAACGAAUCUUUUGUUAGUCCUAGAAACACUAACGAAUAAGGGGUGGGCAAGUUCUGGUGUCAGCCGCCGCGGUAAAACCAGCACCUCAAGUGGUCAGGAUGAUUAUUGGGCCUAAAGCAUCCGUAGCCGGCUCUGUAAGUUUUCGGUUAAAUCUGUACGCUUAACGUACAGGCUGCCGGGAAUACUGCAGAGCUAGGGAGUGGGAGAGGUAGACGGUACUCGGUAGGAAGUGGUAAAAUGCUUUGAUCUAUCGAUGACCACCUGUGGCGAACGCGGUCUACCAGAACACGUCCGACGGUGAGGGAUGAAAGCUGGGGGAGCAAACCGGGAUUAGAUACCCGGUAGUCCCAGCUGUAACUAUGCAACUCAGUUGAAUGCAAUUGGCUUUGUGCCAAUUGCAGCUGCUUGCCAAG
rnacentral:rRNA from 1 species